CCCUUAGAUGUUCUGGGCCGCACGCGCGCUACACUGAUGCAUUCAACGAGUCUAAAACCUGCUCUGAUAGGAGUGGGUAAUCUUUUGAAUGUGCAUCGUGAUUGGGAUAGAUUAUUGCAAUUAUUAAUCUUCAACGAGGAAUUCCUAGUAAGCGCGAGUCAUCAACUUGCAUUGAUUACGUCCCUGCCCUUUGUACACACCGCCCGUCGCACCUACCGAUUGAAUGGUCCGGUGAAGCCUCCGGAUUGGCGCGCACCUCGGUGCCGCCGAGAAGUUGGCUAAACCUUACCAUUUAGAGGAAGGUGAAGUCGUAACA
rnacentral:rRNA from 1 species